CAGUUUGGAGGGGCGUAGAAAGGAGGCCAUAUUGUACAGUUAAAUUGAAAGAACGAAAAUAAUUAUAUCAUCGUAUAGUUGUGCCUGUUUCGUUCCGUAUUUUUACUGUACACGUUCGCAACGGUAUCGUUUGAUUAUCGCAAUUAAAGUAAUAGUGUACAGGGACCGAUUUCAGGUUCCUACAUUUUUUGUAAAUAACUGCAAGUCGUAGUAGUGUAUCCUGAUAUCUAGGUACCGUCCGUCAGUCUACUAAAGGGGUUUAUUGCUCCGGACGAGAUGGGCACUCGGGAUGAUGAAUACGAUUAUUUAUUUAAAGUUGUUCUUAUUGGUGACUCAGGAGUAGGAAAAAGUAAUCUGUUAUCAAGAUUUACGAGAAAUGAAUUCAACUUAGAAUCAAAAUCGACUAUAGGAGUUGAAUUUGCUACACGUAGUAUACAAGUAGAUGGAAAAACUAUUAAAGCUCAGAUUUGGGACACAGCUGGACAAGAACGUUACCGUGCUAUUACAUCGGCGUACUAUCGUGGUGCGGUUGGAGCUCUGUUGGUAUAUGAUAUCGCAAAGCAUCUAACAUAUGAAAAUGUGGAAAGAUGGUUGCGGGAAUUACGGGACCAUGCUGACCAAAACAUUGUCAUUAUGUUGGUGGGAAACAAAUCUGACUUAAGGCAUCUACGUGCAGUUCCAACCGAUGAAGCAAAAGCAUUUGCAGAGAGAAAUGGCCUCUCUUUCAUUGAAACUUCUGCUUUAGACUCUACCAAUGUUGAGACAGCAUUUCAAAAUAUAUUAACAGAAAUCUACAGAAUCGUAUCGCAGAAACAGAUACGCGAUCCACCUGAAGGUGAUACAAUCCGGCCACAGAACGUAGAACCUAUCGACGUGAAACCAACAAUGAAUUCAGAGGGAAUGCGUAAGCCUUGCUGCCAGUGACUCACCUUGCUGCUUAAAAUUGUCAAGGUAUACAUUAUUUGUAUGCUUUAUUUUAAGAUACAGUUAGCAACUACCUCAAGAUAAACGAAGAAUUUGAUGUCAAACAUCAUUGACUAACAUUACAGCAAUAUAUUAUAUUAAACAAUUUUCAUGCAUUUAGUGCACAAAAUAAAUCAUCAUCUAUCGAAGACAAAGAUAAUGGUCUGUUGAGUUGGCCAAAAUACUUUCCAAACAAUAGAAGUAUGUAACACAGCAAAUGCUCUAUAGAGGCAUAAAGAUGGACAUACAAAGAGGCACAGGCGAAAAGAAAAGUGGUCGAUGGUAAACGUAACAGGUGCAUACAGUACAAGAGUCAAGACUAUUUACGGUUAUAAGUAUACCCGACUAAGUUUCCCAAAUAAUCCGGUGUUCUGGAAAGGAAUAGAUUUCUACUCUAUUGCUUGGAGACAAAUAGUAGACAAAAGUGUGUUGUUGCGAGCCGUACUUAAAAGUAUUCUUUUACAUCCUUGUUCACGGUCGCUUGGCUUCGUUAAAACACCCUAACCAGACGUCGCUUUCUCUGUAUCAGGAGAUGAGCAAAUACAUAUGCGUUCUCUUACCGGGAACACUAGGGAAACAUUAUACUUCUCAAGUUCCUUCGGAUUAUUUGGGAAAAUGUAUUGUAACUUCGCCGCUAGAAAAAGAAAAGAAAAAGAUCGAGGAGUCUAGCGACACUUAUACACCAUAGCAGAUACAUACGAAUAAAUCAUAACACGAUCGUACAACCUAAAAUACAUCAUCAGAAAUAUUUACGAAGGGCGAAAGUAUGUACGCACUUAUUCUGUCUUCGAAAUUCAUCUCUCCGUCUCUUUCUGUCUCUAUCUAUUGCUCCCUCCUCCCUCUGUUCCAAAUUUUUCUUUGUCUCUCUGAUACGUUACAAUAUGUCAAUGUUGUAUUACUGCUUCUUUGUAAUACAUGUGUACUUCUACUCAACACGUAGUGAGCGAUCGUGAAUAUAUGAAUGAUUUAUAAUAUUAUAUAAAUAAGAUUCGUCUGAAAUAUUUGGUUAAAACUUGGAGGUAUAGUCUGCGAAUUGCAAAGACGAUGGAAAUUUUUAUAGUUGUAUUGGUCUCCAUAAUGUUGUGUUGAUAAAAUGUAUAAAAUAUUUGCAAUGUUAUUGUUACAGAUUAUUUGUCCCUCCACGAGAAAGCUACUUGAAGCAUCCUUGAAUAAAGAGAGCAAAGGAUAAUUUAUGGAAGCCAUAAUUUUUGUCAAAAUUAAAAUCUUAAAGAUUGAACAUUAAUAUUAUAAAUUAUUGAAGAGAAAUGAGAACGGGGAAAGAAGCAAUAGUUAAGAGGGAAAUUUGUAUACAGUUUUAAAAAAAAUGUUUAAAAUAGAGGGAAGUAUCUAUCAUUGUAUAUUAAAUGCAAAUCUCUUUCAUCCUUACAAUUAGUGGUGCAUAUUCUCAAAAUUUAACCAAAUAUUUUAGACACAAUCUACACAGUAACACAUGAAGUCUUGCGGUUAAAUAUACAGGUGCACAACAUAGAAGAAACAAAAAGAACGAUAAUAGCAAAAAACUGCUUACUAUCGAACAUACAAGAAAGCAAUGAUGAACAAAGCUGAAUCGGAUUUAACACUUUAUUGUUGCUCACUCUCUGCUUUCGAAUUUGCACCGUAGCGUUGACCUUGAAGUACGAUAAGGAGCAUGUCCACAAAAAAAGGCUUAUAAAAGUACUUUAUUUUUUUCUCUUCCGGAAAGAGAAGAAAAAAAAGAAAGAAAACAAACUGAAAGAGAACAUGAGAAUCAUCGUAGAUACACAAAUUGAAACUAUGCGUAAGUGAUGAGAAAGUACGCGAGAAACAGUCGUGAUAUUGUAUCGUACUUUCUAGCGUCUAAUAAGUAUUGCUUUAAUGUGUGUAGCCGCAAUGUAAUCUGUUAUCAUUACGAGUCCUCGUUGUAUCUUGAUGAAUAAAUAGAGAGUGAGUAAAACGUUGAAAUAUUAAGAUAUCUAAACCUCGUUCCGUUGUGCGAGGCCUUCAAUGGUUCGUGUAAUAAAAUAUCAUCGAGCCAAUUGUCCAGAGACAUGGAAAACAGUCUGUUCAAGAUACGGGGGAAUAUACUUAAUAACGAAUUUUACAAUACUUUUUAUGAUACUGCCAUUCAUGAUUUUUAUAGUGCUUUAUGAAACAGGUAAACCUCGUCGAUUUCAGCAACCUUCACAUGUUAUUAAGGUUACAAGCUCUUGAAUAAUUUUGCCUAUAUCGCUGUUCAAGUUACAGUCACCUAACAAAAAUUCGUUAUACAAUUUUAUUUAGUAAUGUACAAAUUCGUAAGAACUUUAGAAUACUUAAAAUGUACACCAUUAUCAAAAUCUGUUUACGAUAGCUGGCAGGCAGAAUUAUUCACAAAAUUGACCUUCAAACACGUAUCAAGGUCACUGAAAUCGACGAGGUUCACAUUCUCCGAUUAAAGGUUGUAUUCAUUUUUAUAUAAAAAUUAAACAUAAUGAGAGAACAUUGUUUUAUUUCGUUACUUAUAUAAAUGUUUGUAAAAAAAAUCACAUAUAACGGUUACGUUCUUUUAUUUUGUGGAGUUCAACCUGAAUCAAUUAUUUUUAGUUACGUCACGUAACGGUAAUUUUAAACGUGAUCGAAAUACUAUUUUAAAAAUAGCACGAAUGUCAUUUAAAAUAUUCGUCUUCUUCGAUGAUAAAAGGAAUUUCAUAUUACUUUUAACUAUAAUGUUGUAAAAAAACUAUAGUCAAAUGUUUAUACUAUUUUAACACAAUUAAUGCAAGAAGUAGAAUAAUCACUUCCAGUAUGUUCCCUCGUAAAAACAAUCAGCUUACAAUUCUUUUUAAAAUAAUGAUAAUAAAAAAUACCAUUUUCAUGUCGACUUGCGAUAAAGUAACGACGAAAUGGAAAACGUGUUUUCCCUCCUGGUAUAUACUUCUUUAUUUUAUUUUGUACCCUUAGGUUACAAAACACGGCCCCUAUGGCACUUUGUGGUGUGAGUUGCCGUUAUGUUGAGCGAGAAUGAAUCUGUACGAACGGGAUUUAGAAUGAUAAAUUAGACAUUAUUGAACUCAGUUUAUUCUCUGUUGAUUCGAUAUAUAAAAAAUGGGGUUGCCGAGUCCACAGAAUAACGCGAGAUUUUAUUAAUCAAUGCUUUGUACUUUAUAAUUUUAUUAAUAAAAUCACUUUUGCUUUGAACACGUA